GAUGAAUGCUGGCUGCGUGCCUAACACAUGCAAGUCGAGCGGCAGCGCGAGUAUUUUACUACUUCGCCGCGAGCGGCGGACGGCUGAGUGACGCGCAGGAACCCACCCUAAAGUUAGCAAUGACUUCCCGCAAGGGUGGCCAAUCCCGCAUCGGAUCUUCGGCUUUAAGUCUUUGGACGCUUUGGGAGCGGCUUGCGGUAGAUUAGGUAGGUGGUGAGGUAAUGGCUCACCAAGCCGACGACCUAUAGCUGGGCUGAGAGUAUGAUCAGCCAGACUGGGACUACGACACGGACCAGAGUGGUACGGGAGGCAGCAGGGGGGAGUCUGACCCAACGAACGAGAGUGUGAGAGGGCAACGCCGUGUGAAGGAAGCAGCUUCUAGGGUCGUAAACUGCUGUUAUAAGUGAAGAAUAUGACGGUAACGUAUGAAUAAGCACCGGCUAACUACGUG
rnacentral:rRNA from 1 species